rnacentral:rRNA from 1 species
GAGUGGCGGACGGGUGAGUAACACAUGGGUGACCUACCCCCUGGUGAGGGAUACCGGCGAGAAAUCGCCGACAAGCCCGCAUAGGGUCGCUCUGGUCGAGCGGAGCGAGCAAAGUUUUCCGUAAGGGAGACGCGAGGGGAUGGGCCUGUGGCCGAUUAGCUGGUUGGUGGGGUAAGAGCCUACCAAGGCUGCGAUCGGUAGCUGGUUUGAGAGAACGACCAGCCACACUGGGACUGAGACACGGCCCAGACUCCUACGGGAGGCAGCAGUAGGGAAUCUUGGACAAUGGGGGAAACCCUGAUCCAGCCAUGCCGCGUGAGUGAUGAAGGCCUUCGGGUUGUAAAACUCUUUCGACGGGGACGAUAAUGACGGUACCCGUAGAAGAAGCUCCGGCUAACUUCGUG